AUUGCAAGUGAUGAUCACAUGGGACUUAAUACUGAAAAUUAGUGAUGUCACCAUGCAUAUAUCUGAUGCAG